GCGAACAAGGUCUCCGUUGGUGAACCAGCGGAGGGAUCAUUA
rnacentral:rRNA from 1 species